rnacentral:rRNA from 1 species
CCUACGGGGGACAGCAGUGAGGAAUAUUGGUCAAUGGACGAGAGUCUGAACCAGCCAAGUAGCGUGAAGGAUGACUGCCCUAUGGGUUGUAAACUUCUUUUAUAUGGGAAUAAAACGUUCCACGUGUGGGACUUUGUAUGUACCAUAUGAAUAAGGAUCGGCCAACUCCGUGCCAGCAGCCGCGGUAAUACGGAGGAUCCGAGCGUUAUCCGGAUUUCUUGGGUUUAAAGGGAGCGUAGGUGGAUUGUUAAGUCAGUUGUGAAAGUUUGCGGCUCAACCGUGAAAUUGCAGUUGAAACUGGCAGUCUUGAGUACAGUAGAGGUGAGCGGAAUUCGUGGUGUAGCGGUGAAAUGCUUAGAUAUCACGAAGAACUCCGAUUGCGAAGGCAGUUCACUGGACUGCAACUGACACUGAGGCUCGAAAGUGUGGGUAUCAAACAGGAUUAGAUACCCUUGUAGUC